AGAGUUUGAUUCUGGCUCAGGAUGAACGCUAGCGGCAGGCUUAACACAUGCAAGUCGAGGGGCAGCGAGAUCAGUGCUUGCACUGAUUGUCGGCGACCGGCGCACGGGUGCGUAACGCGUAUGCAACCUACCCAUUACAGGGGGAUAACACUGAGAAAUCGGUACUAAUACCCCAUAACAUCCAGGGAGGCAUCUUCUUGGGUUGAAAACUCCGGUGGUAAUGGAUGGGCAUGCGUUGUAUUAGUUAGUUGGUGGGGUAACGGCUCACCAAGACCACGAUACAUAGGGGGACUGAGAGGUUAACCCCCCACAUUGGUACUGAGACACGGACCAAACUCCUACGGGAGGCAGCAGUGAGGAAUAUUGGUCAAUGGACGCAAGUCUGAACCAGCCAUGCCGCGUGCAGGAAGACGGCUCUAUGAGUUGUAAACUGCUUUUGUACGAGGGUAAACGCAGAUACGCGUAUCUGUCUGAAAGUAUCGUACGAAUAAGGAUCGGCUAACUCCGUGCCAGCAGCCGCGGUAAUACGGAGGAUUCAAGCGUUAUCCGGAUUUAUUGGGUUUAAAGGGUGCGU
rnacentral:rRNA from 1 species